AAGUGAACACAGCUCUUUUAGAAUUUUUCAGGCAGGGUUUCUGACGUUGGAAAAUCUAAGACAUUUUUCCUAGCAGCUUUUCUGACUUUAGUUGGAAAACCCAU
ensembl:snRNA LOC120103247 U7 small nuclear RNA